rnacentral:tRNA from 1 species
GCCGGAGUGGUGAAAUUGGUAAACACGUCAGCCCCAGGAGCUGAUGCCCAUAAGGGCUUGUGGGUUCGACUCCCACCUUCGGCA